UCAGGCUUUGCUUGGUGGUGAGAGUGGCGAACGGGUGAGUAAUGCGUGACCGACCUGCCCCAUACACCGGAAUAGCUCCUGGAAACGGGUGGUAAUGCCGGAUGCUCCAGUUGAUCGCAUGUCGUGUUGGGAAAGAUUCUAUCGGUAUGGGAUGGGGUCGCGUCCUAUCAGCUUGAUGGCGGGGUAACGGCCCACCAUGGCUUCGACGGGUAGCCGGUCUGAGAGGAUGAACGGCCACACUGGAACUGAGACACGGUCCAGACUCC
rnacentral:rRNA from 1 species